GAUGGGAAAACACAAGGUCCAUUCAAAAAUGGCAAAAAAGCCUCAUCAGAGAACAUCGCAGGCAGGUGACAGGGCUCAGAAGAUCCCGAAUGCUUCAUGAAGUCCACACACCUUCACAAGUGAUGAGGUCAGAAGGGCACCAGAUCUCCUGGGACAGGAGUUAUGGGAGACCGCUGUGUGGGUGCUGGAAAUCGAGCCCCAUCCUCUGCAAGAGUGGCCAGUACUCUUAACCUCCAUGCCAUCUCUCCGGCCCCAUCCCGUUCGUUUCUAUGAACACAGUAGCACAAAAGACCUGUGAUUUAGAAAGGUAAAGAUGUAGAACUCAGCUCCUCCUGCACCAUGCCUGCCUGGAUGCUGCCAUGCUCCUGCCUUGAUGAUAAUGGACUGAACCUCUGAACCUGUAAGCCAGCCCCAAUUAAAUGUUGUCCUUUAUAAAACUUGCAUUGGUCGUGGUGUCUGUUCACAGCAGUAAAACCCUAACUAAGACAGAAGUAUAUGUCUGGACUUCAUUCUGUGACAGCAGGACUCUGCUUCCUUUAUCUUCUGGGGAAUUCCAUCAUGCCUAUGAUUCCUGUUCAUCAGGAAGUAAUGUGACAGUGAUGCAGAUGGGACGAACAUUAAGUACAGACACUCAUUUGUGUUUGUUAAAAGCAUGGUGCUUUU